rnacentral:rRNA from 1 species
UACGUAGGGUGCGAGCGUUGUCCGGAUUUAUUGGGCGUAAAGAGCUCGUAGGCGGUUUGUCGCGUCGGCCGUGAAAUCUCCACGCUUAACGUGGAGCGUGCGGUCGAUACGGGCAGACUUGAGUUCGGUAGGGGAGACUGGAAUUCCUGGUGUAGCGGUGAAAUGCGCAGAUAUCAGGAGGAACACCGGUGGCGAAGGCGGGUCUCUGGGCAGUAACUGACGCUGGAGGAGCGGAAAGCCGUGGGGAGCGAACAGG